CCUGGUGGCAGCAGUGAGGAAUAUUUGUCAAUGAGCGGGAGCCUGAACCAGCCAAGUCGCGUGAAGGAAGAAGGUACUUAGUAUUGUAAACUUCUUUUGUCGGGGAACAAAGGCGGAGACGCGUCUCCGGAUGAGUGUACCCUAAGAACAAGCAUCGGCUCACUCGGUUCCAGGAGCAGAGGUAAUAUGGAGGAUGGGAGCUUUAUCCGGGUUUAUUUGGUUUGAAGGGUGGGCAGGCGGGAGAUCCAGUCAGCGGUAAAAUGUCGGGGCUCAACCCCGGCCGGCCGUUGAAACUGGUUUUCUAGAGUUGGAGAGAGGUAUGCGGAAUUCGUGGUGUAGCGGUGAAAUGCAUAGAUAUCAUGAAGAACUCCGAUCGCGAAGGCAGCAGACCGGGUCCAAACUGACGCUGAGGCACGAAAGCGUGGGGAUCGAACAGGAUUAGAUACCCUAGUAGUC
rnacentral:rRNA from 1 species